GCAUUGGUGGUUUAGUGGUAAAAUUAGCCGUUGCCAUGGUUCUGAUGAGUCUUGUUUCGGCUAGCCCCGGGUUCGAUUCCCGGCCGAUGCA
rnacentral:tRNA from 1 species